AGAACCGAGGGCGUGCCCUUCCGCAAAACAAGGUUGGCUCUUCCUCUGAGACCCGGGCCUGUGUCUGCCAUCGCUGAGUCAUCACGAAUCCCCCUGCCACCUCCAUGUUGUCAGCCGGUGAGGAACAGCCGCACCAGACACCUUCCCGCCUCAGUCCAGAACGUCUCGAGAGGAGGUGAAGAGGCCUCACUGGACACCCUGGUCUCCUCAAAGGCUCAUUAGGCGCAGGGGAGCCGGGACAGCAGCUGUCAGAGACGCCUCUCUCACUGCCAGAUGGCGACGCUUUCAGACGGAUGGAGAUGACCAACAGACACACACACACACACACACACACACACACACACAUACACACACUAAAAAAACAAAUGCCCACUGAAAGCCUGGCACCCGAGGCGGCGCCGGGAAAACGAGACGUGCAUUUACUCUGUCAGGGCCAUAUCGGUGGUGGCGCGGCUCACGGGGGGCUAGUGUGGCGACGGUGUUUAUAUUCGCGCUCCGGCCCUGUUAUCAAGCACUCAGAGAGCGAGCGAGCGCCCGUCACCGGUGUUUGCGUUACGAAUCGAUUCAGAUCCAGGCGGCCCCGUGCUGUCAGAUGGAUGAAAUGGUUCCUGGUGCUCAGUGAAUUCUCCACACACCCCUCCGCUGUGCCCUGUCAAUCCAGCCUAAUUGCCUGCCACCUACAGCAAAGAAAUGGUCCAAGACAGAAUGUCUAUCACUUCAUAUUGUGUAGCUCUGUAAAAUUUGCCUGUCAGCCCCAAAGAAAGAUUGAAACUACUCCAGCAGGCUUUAGCUGAAAGUUACUUCCUAUGAACUACAUAGCACAAUAUUGUAUUCAAUUAUUUGAGAAUUAAGGAAUUAUUAUAGUUUAGGGCAAUCUGGUUGAUUUAAAAAUGUAUAUUUUAACUAUUACUUGGAGCUUAGAACUCUGUGUUAUUUAAUGUCUCAGCUCUCGGGAGCUCUUGAUUAAAGUGUUUUUAUUGGUCCUUAGAGGAUAAAAGAUAAGAGUUUAUCGGUUACCUAGUUUAAUUAGUCAUCAUGUCCCAUCUGUAGUCGUCGACUUCAUCAAUUAUUACUGACUCGGCCUGAGUUACUCCCCCUCAUUUAAAAAUGCAUAAAGCCCUAAUGAUUAGCAGUAUGUGGACCUAAUCUCUGUGCAAAUGAGGGCGAUUCGUGUGACAUUAUCUUCUAGCUUGUACUAAAUCGAGGUCAGGAGCAGGUCGGUCACGGUUGGCUUUCACUUCUGCCACCACAGGGAAGUCUUCCUAACUCAAAUCAAAACCUUGCCCCGCAGAUCUGACUUGUCAGAUUAAGCUGCUGUGUAACUCCUUGAUGUGGCUAUAAAUACAACCUAAAACCCUCA